CAACUGCUGCUGAAAAGCUAGCCUACAUAAUUCCAGGUAAGAUUUAGCUUUGCUUAAAGUUCACGC